AGCGAACGCUGGCGGCGUGCCUAACACAUGCAAGUCGAGCGGCAGCGCGAGUAGUUUACUACUUGGCGGCGAGCGGCGGACGGCUGAGUAACGCGUGGGAACGUGCCCCAAAGUGAGGAAUAACUGCCCGAAAGGGUGGCUAAUGCCGCAUAUGAUCUUCGGAUUAAAGCCUUCGGACGCUUUGGGAGCGGCCCGCGUCGGAUUAGGUUGUUGGUGGGGUAAUGGCUCACCAAGCCGACGAUCCGUAGCUGGUCUGAGAGGAUGAUCAGCCAGACUGGGACUGAGACACGGCCCAGACUCCUACGGGAGGCAGCAGUGAGGAAUCUUCCACAAUGGGCGAAAGCCUGACGGAGCAACGCCGCGUGCAGGAUGAAGGCCUUCGGGUUGUAAACUGCUUUUAUAAGUGAAGAAUAUGACGGUAACUUAUGAAUAAGCACCGGCUAACUACGUGCCAGCCGCCGCAGUAAAAC
rnacentral:rRNA from 1 species